UGGGGAAUUUUGCGCAAUGGGCGAAAGCCUGACGCAGCAACGCCGCGUGAGUGAUGAAGGCUUUCGGGUCGUAAAGCUCUGUCAGAGGGGAAGAAACACUCAGGGGUUAAUACUCCCUGGGCUUGACGGUACCCUCAAAGGAAGCACCGGCUAACUCCGUGCCAGCAGCCGCGGUAAUACGGAGGGUGCAAGCGUUGUUCGGAAUUAUUGGGCGUAAAGGGCGUGUAGGCGGUCUGUUAAGUCUGCUGUGAAAGCCCCGGGCUCAACCCGGGAAGUGCAUUGGAUACUGGCAGACUGGAGUACGGGAGAGGGAAGUGGAAUUCCGAGUGUAGGGGUGAAAUCCGUAGAUAUUCGGAGGAACACCGGUGGCGAAGGCGGCUUCCUGGACCGAUACUGACGCUGAGACGCGAAAGCGUGGGGAGCAAACA
rnacentral:rRNA from 1 species